AUCAGCAGUUAUUAAAUCCAUUUCCGACUGAGACUACAGCUCGCUCAGGUUCUUCACAGGCCUCCUUCCUGAACUGACCUGAUUCUCCUGCCAUGAAGGUUUUGCUGGAGGUUGAAAAGGGAUUCAGUCCUCCCUGAGUGCUGAGGAAGACCAAAGAGCACGAGCUGUCAAACCGGAAAUCGUGCCAGCAGAAUGCUCAUUGAACACUUGAUGUCAUAUGUCAUCUGACACUGGCUUUUCAUUCAGGUCAUUUCAGGAUAAGCAAGAAGACAUCAAAACACCAGCGAUGAACGUAUCAUGAGAGGACAGAGCGUCAUCAUGCAAAAAGUUACCCAGACUUUAAUGUAAGAAAAAAAAGCCUUCCAUCAAACAGAGGAUAUCUGAUUUGAAAUGAUGUGUCUCUUAU
rnacentral:lncRNA from 1 species